UGUAUUCACUACUGUAAGUCGCUCUGGAUAAGAGCGUCUGCUAAAUUACGUAAA
rfam:Salmo salar isolate Sally breed double haploid chromosome ssa11, whole genome shotgun sequence.